rnacentral:rRNA from 1 species
CCGCACGGGUGAGUAACACGUAUGCAAUCCACCUGUAACAGGGGGAGUAACCCGGAGAAAUCCGACUAAUACCCAUAAUAUGGGCGCUCCGCAUGGAGAGCCCAUUAAAGAGAGCAAUUUUGGUUACAGACGAGCAUGCGCUCCAUUAGCCAGUUGGCGGGGUAACGGCCCACCAAAGCGACGAUGGAUAGGGGUUCUGAGAGGAAGGUCCCCCACAUUGGAACUGAGACACGGUCCAA